rnacentral:rRNA from 1 species
CCUACGGGAGGCAGCAGUAGGGAAUCUUCCACAAUGGACGCAAGUCUGAUGGAGCAACGCCGCGUGAGUGAAGAAGGGUUUCGGCUCGUAAAACACUGUUGUAAGAGAAGAAUGACAUUGAGAGUAACUGUUCAAUGUGUGACGGUAUCUUACCAGAAAGGAACGGCUAAAUUCGUGCCAGCAGCCGCGGUAAU